rnacentral:rRNA from 1 species
AUUGAACGCUGGCGGCAUGCCUUACACAUGCAAGUCGAACGGUAACGGGUCCUUCGGGAUGCCGACGAGUGGCGAACGGGUGAGUAAUAUAUCGGAACGUGCCCAGUAGUGGGGGAUAACUGCUCGAAAGAGCAGCUAAUACCGCAUACGACCUGAGGGUGAAAGGGGGGGAUCGCAAGACCUCUCGCUAUUGGAGCGGCCGAUAUCAGAUUAGCUAGUUGGUGGGGUAAAGGCCUACCAAGGCAACGAUCUGUAGUUGGUCUGAGAGGACGACCAGCCACACUGGGACUGAGACACGGCCCAGACUCCUACGGGAGGCAGCAGUGGGGAAUUUUGGACAAUGGGCGCAAGCCUGAUCCAGCAAUGCCGCGUGCAGGAAGAAGGCCUUCGGGUUGUAAACUGCUUUUGUCAGGGAAGAAAUCUUCUGGGCUAAUACCCCGGGAGGAUGACGGUUCCUGAAGAAUAAGCACCGGCUAACUACGUG